UUAGAAAAUCGUCCAAGGAAACACUGUAAAGUAAUUAAUAAAGCAAUAAAUUUUUUUAGUUAAAAGAAAUAAAAAAAUAAAAAUGGAAGGUCAAAAGUUUGUUGCAGUGUUUCUGAUGUGCAUGGUUGUAUUUACAGCUGUGUGUGAAGCCACAGAAGAAGAGUAUCAGGAUUGCUAUCACACAUGUCACGAUGAAUGCACAGCUAAACAAGGACAAGGUUAUACCUUUUGUGAGAUGAAGUGUGAUGCAGACUGCUCCAAGAAGGAUUUCGUUGCUCAAUUCCCUAAAUUCAAGGCUUAAUGAGGAGGACCAAAGACAUACAAAGCAGUCGGAUUAAUGUAUUUCUUUUGAUCUUUUCCCACUGCUCAUUGUAAUUUUCAAAAUUCAAUAAAAAAAAUAAUAUUCAUUUCCA